rnacentral:rRNA from 1 species
GACGUAGGGCGCGAGCGUUGUUCGGAAUUACUGGGCGUAAAGCGCACGUAGGCGGCUUUGUAAGUUAGAGGUGAAAGCCCGGAGCUCAACUCCGGAAUUGCCUUUAAGACUGCAUCGCUUGAAUCCAGGAGAGGUGAGUGGAAUUCCGAGUGUAGAGGUGAAAUUCGUAGAUAUUCGGAAGAACACCAGUGGCGAAGGCGGCUCACUGGACUGGUAUUGACGCUGAGGUGCGAAAGCGUGGGGAGCAAACAGG